AUUGAACGCUGGCGGCAUGCCUUACACAUGCAAGUCGAACGGUAACAGGUUAAGCUGACGAGUGGCGAACGGGUGAGUCAUGUAUCGGAACGUGCCCAGUCGUGGGGGAUAACUGCUCGAAAGAGCAGCUAAUACCGCAUAUGACCUGAGGGUGAAAGCGGGGGAUCGCAAGACCUCGCGCGAUUGGAGCGGCCGAUAUCAGAUUAGGUAGUUGGUGAGGUAAAGGCUCACCAAGCCGACGAUCUGUAGCUGGUCUGAGAGGACGACCAGCCACACUGGGACUGGGACACGGCCCAGACUCCUACGGGAGGCAGCAGUGGGGAAUUUUGGACAAUGGGCGCAAGCCUGAUCCAGCCAUGCCGCGUGCGGGAAGAAGGCCUUCGGGUUGUAAACCGCUUUUGUCGGGGAAGAAAAGGUUCUGGCUAAUACCUGGGACUCAUGACGGUACCUGAAGAAUAAGCACCGGCUAACUACGUG
rnacentral:rRNA from 1 species